AUUGAACGCUGGCGGAAUGCUUUACACAUGCAAGUCGAACGAUGAAGUCUAGCUUGCUAGACGGAUUAGUGGCGAACGGGUGAGUAAUAUAUCGGAACGUAUCCAUUAAUGGGGGAUAACUAGUCGAAAGAUUGGCUAAUACCGCAUACGUCCUACGGGAGAAAGCUGGGGAUCGUAAGACCUGGCGUUAAUGGAGCGGCCGAUAUCUGAUUAGCUAGUUGGGGAGGUAAAGGCUCACCAAGGCGACGAUCAGUAGCUGGUCUGAGAGGACGACCAGCCACACUGGAACUGGGACACGGUCCAGACUCCUACGGGAGGCAGCAGUGGGGAAUUUUGGACAAUGGGCGAAAGCCUGAUCCAGCCAUUCCGCGUGAGUGAAGAAGGCCUUCGGGUUGUAAAGCUCUUUCGCAAGGGAAGAAAACUUAUCCUCUAACAUAGGGUGAGGUUGACGGUACCUUGAUAAGAAGCACCGGCUAACUACGUGCCAGCCGCCGCCGUAA
rnacentral:rRNA from 1 species